CUGGCACUGCAGACACGCACCACCACACCCAGGCUACACAGAACAACAUCAUUAGCAACAUUGUUUCAGCAAGGAAAUAAUCCUUAUUGGCAAAGGGAAACCAAGGAAAGAAAACUAUUGUUUUCUUCGGCUACAUGCUGUCUGCAAAGCACCCCAUGGAUUCAAUUUCUCAUCAAUUCAGAAUGGAAUACUAACGUGCUGCCUAGAGAUACAGAAGUGGGAUGAACGCAGGGCCUUACUCAGCAUUCAGAACAAAACUGAUGGUGCUAGCAUAUAUAAGACUGAAACACCAAAGUCCUCCGUGGAAGUUAAUGAAUUUCUGGUUAUGAGUUGGAUUCUUCAGCGGAGUAUUUGAGCCAUGCCUUGAGGCACAUACUUCAAGUUGCUGCAUCCAGUUUUAAACUCCAGAUUGAGCUUUACAUAUUAAAUGUGCACAUUUGUUUUCACAUUUUUGAGCUUUGCCAGUGGCACCCUCUCUAAUUAAUCAUCCCGCGGGCUUAGAAAACUUCUGCCCAAUCCUUUCUGAUUUGUUAAAAGAAAGAGAGAAGGUUUUAGUCUGAAAAAGGCCUUAUCUGAUAAACAUCACAUUAUAUGGAUUUUUACAUUUAAGUACAUUUUCUUUUUAAAUCCGGUGGCUUUCCCAAACUAGAAAGAUGGAGUGUUUGCAUACAUCCACCAACCACCAACAUCAGCAGAAAGAAAGCUUGAUACAGUAAAGGAAAGAAAUGGCAAUUUAACAGUUCUUUUAUUUUCCAUUCAGAUCACAUACACAUUAACCAAAUGAGGCCUCACAGCGUGGAAUCUGAUAUCAUAGCAAUGUUUUCAGGAAGCAAUAAUUGAAUACUCCUCAUUAAAAAGGUUCAUAAAAGAAUCCUAUUAAAACCAAUACGAAUAAUAAA
rnacentral:lncRNA from 1 species